CUAUGUUGAGAAUAUUUAACAUGGCGGAAGGAG
ncrna:unclassified sequences L31-Firmicutes ribosomal protein leader